rnacentral:rRNA from 2 species
UACGGAGGAUCCAAGCGUUAUCCGGAUUUAUUGGGUUUAAAGGGUGCGUAGGCGGCUUAUUAAGUCAGGGGUGAAAGACGGUGGCUCAACCAUCGCAGUGCCUUUGAUACUGAUGAGCUUGAAUACACUUGAGGUAGGCGGAAUGUGACAAGUAGCGGUGAAAUGCAUAGAUAUGUCACAGAACACCAAUUGCGAAGGCAGCUUACUAAGGUGCAAUUGACGCUGAGGCACGAAAGCGUGGGGAUCAAACAGG